rnacentral:misc_RNA from 1 species
ACAGUCAGUUGUUGAUCAGUUAUCAACCAGUUAUCAACGAAUUACCAGCGAUUUAAUUAACGAGUCAUUAGCGAUCCUAUUUUACGACUGAUACACUGUCUUAGCAAAUCGGCCAAGGUUUUUUCACUUAAUCAAGUAAACCUGUGCUUGACAAAGCAACAGCUGUCGAGUGGAAAGGUUUCAAAAAGAACCGUGCAACUGGAGACAAACAAGAACACAGCUGGGCCGUCGAAUAUUAUCAAGGGAAUUAACUUUGAUCCAGCCGAAAUUUUGCAACGGUCUUAAUUCAUUGAAGUUGUAUCGAGGAACGAGUUGCUUAGCGACAUCAUGGAAAGAAGAGUUGUUUGUUGUCAUUGUGUAAACGGUUAUGUUAAGAAGAAAUAAACGAGUGGGG